AUACAGAGGGUGCGAGCGUUAAUCGGAAUUACUGGGCGUAAAGCGCGCGUAGGCGGUUAUUUAAGUCAGAUGUGAAAUCCCUGGGCUCAACCUAGGAACUGCAUCUGAAACUGGGUAACUAGAGUUUAGGAGAGGGGAGUAGAAUUUCGGGUGUAGCGGUGAAAUGCAUAGAGAUCCGAAGGAAUACCAGUGGCGAAGGCGACUAUCUGGCCUAGAACUGACGCUGAGGUGCGAAAGCGUGGGUAGCAAACGGGAUUAGAAACCCUAGUAGUCC
rnacentral:rRNA from 1 species